ACAAGUUAUCCAGAACUACGUAGGUCUGAGUUCCUCAUUGAGGAUACGUAGGAGCAAAAGCCUCGCUUUUGUCGACCACACCGCUUUUUGUUACCAUGACCCAAGAGCUAGUAGCCCGUAGAGACGCCUUACGGUUAUCCGCACCUCGUCAUUCAGUGACCCCAAGUGUGAUUGAUGAGCAGAGGCCAGUGUGGUCAUCUGCGCCCUUUCCGGAGAUGUCAACAUCUUCCGGUGGAGACCUUUUCAAGUCUCACAAGUUAUCAAGAACUACGUAGGUCUGAGUUCCUCAUUGGAGGAUACGUAGGAGCAGGAGCCUUGCUUUUGUCGGCCGCCCCACAAUCUUUGUCAUACUAACCCUCAGGUCAUGUGACACGCAGAGACAAAUUAUGGUCAUUCUGCACC
rnacentral:lncRNA from 1 species